rnacentral:rRNA from 1 species
UACGUAGGGUGCGAGCGUUGUCCGGAAUUAUUGGGCGUAAAGAGCUUGUAGGCGGUUUGUCGCGUCUGCUGUGAAAGUCCGGGGCUCAACUCCGGAUCUGCGGUGGGUACGGGCAGACUAGAGUGAUGUAGGGGAGACUGGAAUUCCUGGUGUAGCGGUGAAAUGCGCAGAUAUCAGGAGGAACACCGGUGGCGAAGGCGGGUCUCUGGGCCGAUACUGACGCUGAGGAGCGAAAGCGUGGGGAGCGAACAGG